rnacentral:rRNA from 1 species
UACGAAGGGUGCAAGCGUUAAUCGGAAUUACUGGGCGUAAAGCGCGCGUAGGUGGUUCGUUAAGUUAGGAGUGAAAGCCCCGGGCUCAACCUGGGAAUUGCUUCUAAAACUGGCGAGCUAGAGUAUGGUAGAGGGUGGUGGAAUUUCCUGUGUAGCGGUGAAAUGCGUAGAUAUCAGGAGGAACACCGAUGGCGAAGGCAGCCCCCUGGGCCUGUACUGACGCUCAUGCACGAAAGCGUGGGGAGGCAAACAGGAUUAGAUACCCUGGUAGUCCCU